rfam:Triticum aestivum genome assembly, contig: Triticum_aestivum_CS42_TGACv1_scaffold_502999_6BL
CUUGUACUCCCUCCGGCCGAAAAUACUUGCCAUUGAAAUGGAUGUAUCUAGAUGUAUUUUAGUUCUAGACACAUCCAUUUUGAUGACAAGUAAUUCCGGAUGGAGGGAGUACUUG